GACGAACGCUGGCGGCGUGCUUAACACAUGCAAGUCGAACGGAAAGGCCCUGCUUUUGUGGGGUGCUCGAGUGGCGACCGGGUGAGUAACACGUGAGUACCCUGCCCUUGCCUUUGGGGUAACUUCAGGCAACUGGGGCUAAUCCCGGAUAGGAGCUCCUGCUGCAUGGUGGGGGUUGGUAAGUUUCGGCGGUUGGGGAUGGACUCGCGGCUUAUCAGCUUGUUGGUGGGGUAGUGGCUUAGCAUGGCUUUGACGGGUAGCCGGCCUGAGAGGGUGACCGGCCACAUUGGGACGGAGAUACGGCACAGACUCCUACGGGAGGCAGCAGUGGAGAAUAUUGCACUAGGGGCUGAGGCCUGAUGCAGCAACGCCGCGUGCGGGAUGACGGCCUGCGGGUUGUAAUCCGCUUUCGCCUUUGACGAAGCGUUAAUGACGGUAAUGGGUAAAGAAGCACCGGCUAACUACGUG
rnacentral:rRNA from 1 species